rnacentral:rRNA from 1 species
CGUGAGUAACCUGCCCCUCACUCUGGGAUAACAUCGGGAAACCGGUGCUAAUACUGGAUACGAGAUGCCUCCGCAUGGGGAGUGUCUGGAAAGAUUUAUUGGUGGGGGAUGGACUCGCGGCCUAUCAGCUUGUUGGUGGGGUAAUGGCCCACCAAGGCGACGACGGGUAGCCGGCCUGAGAGGGCGACCGGCCACACUGGGACUGAGACACGGCCCAGACUCCUACGGGAGGCAGCAGUGGGGAAUAUUGCACAAUGGGCGAAAGCCUGAUGCAGCGACGCCGCGUGGGGGAUGAAGGCCUUCGGGUUGUAAACCCCUUUCAGCAGGGAAGAAGCGAAAGUGACGGUACCUGCAGAAGAAGCGCCGGCUAACUACGUGCCAGCAGCCGCGGUAAUACGUAGGGCGCAAGCGUUGUCCGGAAUUAUUGGGCGUAAAGAGCUCGUAGGCGGUUUGUCGCGUCUGGUGUGAAAACUCAAGGCUCAACCUUGAGCUUGCAUCGGGUACGGGCAGACUAGAGUGCGGUAGGGGUGACUGGAAUUCCUGGUGUAGCGGUGGAAUGCGCAGAUAUCAGGAGGAACACCGAUGGCGAAGGCAGGUCACUGGGCCGCAACUGACGCUGA